rnacentral:rRNA from 1 species
GUAGGUGGCAAGCGUUGUCCGGAAUUAUUGGGCGUAAAGCGCGCGCAGGCGGUUCUUUAAGUCUGAUGCGAAAGCCCACGGCUCAACCGUGGAGGGUCAUUGGAAACUGGAGAACUUGAGUACAGAAGAGGAAAGCGGAAUUCCACGUGUAGCGGUGAAAUGCGUAGAGAUGUGGAGGAACACCAGUGGCGAAGGCGGCUUUCUGGUCUGUAACUGACGCUGAGGCGCGAAAGCGUGGGGAGCAAACAGGAUUAGAUACCCUGGUAGUCCACGCCGUAAACGAUGAGUGCUAAGUGUUAGGGGGGUUUCCGCCCCCCUUAGUGCUGCAGCUAACGCAUUAAGCACUCCGCCUGGGAGUACGGCCGCAAGGCUGA